rnacentral:rRNA from 1 species
GACGAACGCUGGCGGCGUGCCUAAUACAUGCAAGUCGAACGCAGUGGGGACGGGUGAGUAACACGUGGGUAACCUCCCAUCAGAGGGGAUAACACUUGGCAACAGGUGCUAAACCGAUACUGAUGGAUGGACCCGCGGUGCAUUAGCUAGUUGGUGAGGUAACGGCUCACCAAGGCCACGAUGCAUAGCCGACCUGAGAGGGUGAUCAGCCACCCUGGGACUGCGACACGGCCCAGACUCCUACCCUGAACAACAGUAAACAAUCUUCGGCAAUGGACGAAAGUCUGACCGAGUAACGCCGCGUGAGUGAAGAAGGUUUUCGGAUCGUAAAACUCUGUUGUUAGAGAAGCGGUAUCUAACCAGAAAGCCACGGCUAACUACGUGCCAGCAGCCGCGGUAAUAC